rnacentral:rRNA from 1 species
GGUCACUGCUAUUGGGAUUCGACUAAGCCAUGCGAGUCGAGAGGGUUCGGCCCUCGGCGGACUGCUCAGUAACACGUGGAUAAUUUGCCCUUAGGUGGAGGAUAACCUCGGGAAACUGAGAAUAAUACUCCAUAGAUCUAGGAUGCUGGAAUGCACUUAGAUUGAAAGCUCCGGCGCCUAAGGAUAAGUCUGCGGACUAUCAGGUUGUAGUCAGGGUAAAGGCCUGACUAGCCUACAACGGAUACGGGUUGUGAGAGCAAUAACCCGGAGACGAUAUCUGAGACACGAUAUCGGGCCCUACGGGGCGCAGCAGGCGCGAAACCUUCACAAUGUGCGAAAGCGCGAUGAGGGGAUCCCAAGUGCUUGCUCGUAAGAGUAAGCUGUUUUUAUGUCUAAAAAGCAUAGAGAGUAAGGGCUGGGUAAGACGGGUGCCAGCCGCCGCGGUAAUACCUGCAGCUCAAGUAGUGACCGCUAUUAUUGGGCCUAAAACGUUCGUAGCCGGUUUGAUAAAUGCCUGGGUAAAUAGUGUAGCUUAACUAUACGAAUUCCGGGUAGACUGUCAAACUUGAGACCGGGAGAGGCUAGAGGUACUCCUGGGGUAGAGGUGAAA